GACGUAGGGCGCGAGCGUUGUCCGGAUUUAUUGGGCGUAAAGAGCUCGUAAGCGGCUUGUCGCGUCGUCCGUGAAAACCUGCAGCUCAACUGCAGGCUUGCGGUCGAUACGGGCAGGCUAGAGUUCGGUAGGGGAGACUGGAAUUCCUGGUGUAGCGGUGAAAUGCGCAGAUAUCAGGAGGAACACCGGUGGCGAAGGCGGGUCUCUGGGCCGAUACUGACGCUGAGGAGCGAAAGCGUGGGGAGCGAACAGG
rnacentral:rRNA from 1 species